ensembl:lncRNA
AUGUCCAAAUCCAGUCCCCGGCUCCAAUACAGCCUUCCCCUCCAAAAGGGCUGCCGUUCUCACGGAUCGUCUGUCAAGAGCAGCGGCGUGGCACCGGGCACAUCGACAGCAGCCCCACCCAUUCUCAUCAGAGCGCUGUCCAAAGGGAAACGCUUCAGGAGCAGUUCCCUUUCACUCAGUCCUGCCCGGCGACGGAGGGAGACGCUUUGCUUCAGGACUCCACCGAUUUCCACAGGGAAGCACAAAAUAUCCACGAAUCUCAUCGAAGGAUCCAGAGCGAAUGGCCACGUCUACAAACACCUGCAGGAGGACGAGCCAGCAGACGUGGAGUCCAUGAGAAGGUGUGACUCUGCCGGCGGAAAGACCGGCAUCCUCCUCGGCAGGUCCUCCCUCCCUCACUUCGCAACCAGAAAGGGAUGGACGGAGGUCCCGUGCACCCGUCUGGAUAAGGCCGCUCCCUACCUUCCCCCUUCCCUGCGCACCCGUUCCGUGCCCAUCAUCCCCUCCCUCCAAGCGCGCGACCUCGACGGCGCCGACACGAGCGAGCGGAACCAACGGGAGCUCCCCAAGUGGCACCCCGGGUCGGCUGGAAAGACGGCGGAGGCCCCGGGCGGUUCUCCCUCCCCGCCGCGUGAGGGUGUGGCCGUCGUCGUUGCGCCGCUGCCCCGCUCCUUUGAAAUCCCUGUGGAGCCGGCGCAGGAAUUAAAACAGAAAGGCCUCUCCAGCCCGGCGAAAAUGCCCGGGUCUCAGAGCAAGAUCCACCGCGGCGGCUCGAACACUCCAGAGGCCGCGGCCGCGCGGGAGUCGGAGGGGAAUUGUCCCCGAUAUCCGGCCGGGGCUCCGCGCGCCGGCGGAGGGACCAGAGGUUUGAAGGCAGCGGGCCAGAGAGAAGCCCGGGGUCACUGCCGGGGUCAGACGUCCCACGCGGGCGGAGGCGCGAACUUCUCCCUGGCCGGCAAAGCGCCCGGCUGCAGAGGAGCCGGAGGCGCUCGCGCCAGCCCCUCUGCGAGCUGAUUGGAUUAACGCCGUAAAGACGCUGUUCCCGGUGACUGUACUGCGUGUUUGCCGGUGGCGCGGGAUGGUUGGGAGGCGGAAACUGUCUGUGAGGCCACGCGGACCGGAAACACACAGAUGGACGUCAAUUUUGAUGAAACAUGAACAGAUUGAACUGCAGACAACAACGACAACAAAAAAAAAAUACUGACGUCUAAUUAUAAAGAAGAAGAGACAAACAAAAACACAUGAAUAAAUGUGAAUAAAUGUGACUCGAUAAGGAAAACAAAACCAUGACUUGAGUGGGAGCUUGAACUAAACAGUGUAUUGAAAAAAAAUGUCACUAUUUAAAAGGAGCUUCUACUUAGAAACCAAAAUAGUGUGUCAUCUCUGUUGUUUCUCUAUUGUAAAGAAAUAAAAUUAUAUAUGUCAUAUAAUAUAUGUCAUAUAGGCGUAUAUAUAUAUUUGACAUACAAUUGUGACAAAAUAAAGACUAAGAUAACAGUGUUAAUUAAGGGUUGCGUUCAUCUGAAUCCAUUUUCAUUAAACAUAUGUUUGUUUCUUAGAUCUGACAUAACUAACAGAAUAGUAGUUAGCUGUUCUGUGUGUGUGUGCGCGCGCGCUUUUAUUACCCACACAAAAAUGUGUUAACACAAACACAAUGUGGGUACCUGCUUUUUAGGGGGGGGACAAUUGUAAGUCAUUAUAUUUGAGUGUUGCUGUUAGAGUUGGGGUAAGCCUGCAGGGAAGGAAUUAAGGUAAAUUUAAUGUUCCCUAAUGUGAUGAAAACGACUCUGUGUUUGUGGUCAAAGAGAGUUAGUGAGAAUAGUUUAAACGGAAAACAAGCAUCUUCUACUUUAUUCUCAAUUUUAGAAAUUAGAAACAUGGAGGUAAGAACUGAGCAAAGGGAAAUAGAUAACGGUUUUGUGAUUGAGUACUAACAAAUGUGAAGAAAAAGGGCAGGAUAUAGUUAUUUCCCAUGAUGCACUUUAUACAUUACCCACAGGCUUUAAGCGCAAAAGAAGAUCAACUACACUGUUUUGAAUUAUAACAAUGGCCAUGAGGUUUCUGGAUGAAAAUGAUGCAAGCAGAGCACCAUUCUUUAUUUAUGCCUCAUUUAUGUUCAAUCGGUGUCUGCGUUUCCUUCCUUUGAGAAUGCAAAGACUGCCGGCGAGGUAACUUGUACGAGAUUUACAAAUGGGUAUUAUUGAGACUUCUUCAUCACUGCUCUGCAGAAUAAAACCAUCUUGAGUGUAUAGGAAGGUUUUUAGGAAGAUAAAAACGAACUUCAUUGAUCUCCAAGGGGAAAUACUGCACAGGCAGCUGCAAAGGAGAGAUAAAAUUACCAUUAAUAGAAAAUAUUGAGGAUUCUAAAUGCAUAGUGUGAAUGUUAGACAUAAUUCAAGACACAUUUUCCCAUAUUUACAUAUUGCACAUAUCCUGCAGGGCAAGACCACAAAGCUGAGCAAAUACAGAUGAGUGUCAAAUUAAAGGAACAUUACCAGUAAUUUUAUGAUGGAACUGGAGAUAAAAUGCAAACACAAAUAAUGGAAUGUGAUUUUGCAAACUGCUGUUACAUUUUACUUCGAAAGGCACAAAUAAUUGUUUAUUGUCCACAUUUUGGCCUUAUAAAAAGAGACAGCAUUUGUAAAUAUAUAUAUAUAUAUUCUAAAAGCUCUCUUUAAUUUGGUUAAUCUCAGCUCUCAUAAACUAACACGUUCAUUUUGACAGCCCUAUACAUACAUAUAUAUACCCUUAUUUGUGAUUAGGGGUUGUUACCCAUUCUAAAAGAACAUAAGCAGCCACACGCCCCUAUAAUCACACGCAUAAGAGCAGAUUUGGACGGUUAAAAACAUUUAGUACAUUCGGAGUUGAUAGAAAAUUAAGAGAAAAUAUGAGACACGUUUAGGAUGAGGCCUAAAUUCUAAACAACACUCUACUACAGUAGUCAAAUGUAAAAGUGUAAAUGAUGAUGCAAUAAUAGAUUCCUGUCAGGGAGUUCUCUUGAAAUGAAAAGGCCACAUGUCUUCAAACGCAGUUCGCACUGUAAGCCCUGAACGCCGUUUGAAGCACCAGUCAAAGGAGUCUCAGUCUCACUGCUGACUGGUUUCCCCUGCUGAAAAACUACGUCAAGGAGCCAGAGAAGACCUGAAGCUGCAACGUGACUCGUUGAACUGACGCCGUUGAUGAAAUCCAGACAAAGGAAACCAAGACACUGUGAAUGAUAACUUGCAUUAUUGGUGUUUAGGGAUUUAUUAGCGUUAAAUUUACAUUUUCCAAAAGCUGAUGCGUUUCCAAGAUCAUUACAUGGUUUUCUUCUUUGGUCUUAAUGUCAACAAAGGCACACAACGUCUCAAUUGUGCGUCCAUCUGUGGGCGCUUGCUUUGUGAGGGGGUGGGAUCGCCCACAAACAAGGACAACCCAGUGAAGGAGAUUAAAAAGUAACUUCUCAUUAGCUGAAAUGAGCCAGCUUUGCUGGAGGCGGGCCCCCGUAGCAGUUUGAUCAAUCCUCGUCGGUGUUGACUCUUUUAUGUUGCACGCAUCGGUCUUCCUCGCUCGAUGUGAGCGGUAUACUAAUGUACCAGAGGUGCAGGGGGACAGCGAGGUCCCCCACCAGAUGGCAAC